rnacentral:rRNA from 1 species
GACGAACGCUGGCGGCGUGCCUAAUACAUGCAAGUAGAACGCUGAAGGAGGAGCUUGCUCUUCUGGAUGAGUUGCGAACGGGUGAGUAACGCGUAGGUAACCUGCCUGGUAGCGGGGGAUAACUAUUGGAAACGAUAGCUAAUACCGCAUAACAGUAGAUGUUGCAUGACAUUUGCUUAAAAGGUGCAAUUGCACCACUACCAGAUGGACCUGCGUUGUAUUAGCUAGUUGGUGGGGUAACGGCUCACCAAGGCGACGAUACAUAGCCGACCUGAGAGGGUGAUGGGCCACACUGGGACUGAGACACGGCCCAGACUCCUACGGGAGGCAGCAGUAGGGAAUCUUCGGCAAUGGACGGAAGUCUGACCGAGCAACGCCGCGUGAGUGAAGAAGGUUUUCGGAUCGUAAAGCUCUGUUGUAAGAGAAGAACGAGUGUGAGAGUGGAAAGUUCACACUGUGACGGUAUCUUACCAGAAAGGGACGGCUAACUACGUG